CAGGUCUUGACAUCCUUUGACCACCCUAGAGAUAGGGCUUUCCCUUCGGGGACAAAGUGACAGGUGGUGCAUGGUUGUCGUCGGCUCGUGUCGUGAGAUGUUGGGUUAAGUCCCGCAACGAGCGCAACCCCUAUUAUUAGUUGCCAGCAUUCAGUUGGGCACUCUAGUGAGACUGCCGGUGAUAAACCGGAGGAAGGUGGGGAUGACGUCAAAUCAUCAUGCCCCUUAUGACCUGGGCUACACACGUGCUACAAUGGAUGGUACAACGAGUCGCAAGGUCGCGAGGCCAAGCUAAUCUCUUAAAGCCAUUCUCAGUUCGGAUUGUAGGCUGCAACUCGCCUGCAUGAAGCCGGAAUCGCUAGUAAUCGCGGAUCAGCACGCCGCGGUGAAUACGUUCCC
rnacentral:rRNA from 1 species